rnacentral:rRNA from 1 species
UACGUAGGGUGCGAGCGUUAAUCGGAAUUACUGGGCGUAAAGCGUGCGCAGGCGGUUUUGUAAGCCAGAUGUGAAAUCCCCGGGCUUAACCUGGGAAUGGCAUUUGGGACUGCAAGGCUGGAGUUUGGCAGAGGAGACUGGAAUUCCCGGUGUAGCAGUGAAAUGCGUAGAUAUUGGGAGGAAUACCGAUGGCGAAGGCAGGUCUCUGGGCUAUAACUGACGCUCAUGCACGAAAGCGUGGGGAGCAAACAGG